AGAGUUUGAUCCUGGCUCAGAACGAACGCUGGCGGCAGGCCUAACACAUGCAAGUCGAACGCGACCUUCGGGUCGAGUGGCGCACGGGUGAGUAACGCGUGGGAAUCUGCCCUGUGGUACGGAAUAACAUCGGGAAACUGGUGCUAAUACCGUAUAUCCCCUGAGGGGGAAAGAUUUAUCGCCAUGGGAGGAGCCCGCGUAGGAUUAGCUAGUUGGUGGGGUAACGGCCUACCAAGGCGACGAUCCUUAGCUGGUCUGAGAGGAUGAUCAGCCACACUGGGACUGAGACACGGCCCAGACUCCUACGGGAGGCAGCAGUGGGGAAUAUUGGACAAUGGGGGAAACCCUGAUCCAGCCAUGCCGCGUGUGUGAUGAAGGCCUUCGGGUUGUAAAGCACUUUCGCACGUGACGAUGAUGACGGUAACGUGAGAAGAAGCCCCGGCUAACUUCGUGCCAGCAGCCGCGGUAAUACGAAGGGGGCAAGCGUUGUUCGGAAUUACUGGGCGUAAAGGGCGCGUAGGCGGUGCUCUAAGUCAGGCGUGAAAGCCCUGGGCUCAACCCGGGAAUUGCGCUUGAUACUGGAGCGCUUGAAUCCAGGAGAGGUUGGUGGAAUUCCCAGUGUAGAGGUGAAAUUCGUAGAGAUUGGGAAGAACACCGGUGGCGAAGGCGGCCAACUGGACUGGUAUUGACGCUGAGGCGCGAAAGCGUGGGGAGCAAACAGGAUUAGAUACCCUAGUAGUCC
rnacentral:rRNA from 1 species